CAGGAAACUACAUGGAUGAUGGCAGGAAAUUGGGGAUGAGGACGAGGAGCAAGAGGUCCUGGCAGACGACCGGAUGAAGAGUCCAGGUGUCUCUGUAAAUGUGGGGAAAUCACUGAAGAGUCUGCAGGACUAGUUAAAACAGGCUUUCUGGAAAGAAAUCCACACUGCUUAAUCUUCUUCAUAAAACGCCAACACAUGAUUGCCAGGAAUCCGCACGUCCGUUGGAUCCAAACUUGCUGGACACUGUUGCUCCCAUGCUGAAGGCAAAGAACUGGAGCCUGGAAGUGGACACAGGUCCUUCAGGAAGCCUGAGAAUUUUCUUAGAAGCACCAAAAGAUGCUCCAGAUUCUAAGCCCCGACUGUCCCUUUUACUUCCUUGCUGAUUAGAGCGUAACUCUUUUGAAAAGCUCCUUGACACUUAGAUGAAACAAAGCGAUAUUUCUUUGAGAAA